GCGGGAGUCGUAUAGUGGUAAUACGUCAGCCUUCCAAGCUGAGAACGCGGGUUCGAUUCCCGUCUCCCGCUCCA
rnacentral:tRNA from 1 species